AGCUCCAAUAGCGUAUAUUAAAGUUGUUGCGGUUAAAAGCUCGUAGUUGGAUUUCUGUUGAGAACUGCCGGUCCGCCUCUUGGGCGUGUAUCUGGAUAGGUCUCGGCAUCCUCGUAAGAGACAUUGUUGCGCUUGACUGCGUGAUGUGGAUCUUGCGACUUUUACUUUGAGGAAAUUAGAGUGUUCACGGCAGGCAAGCGCCUUGAAUACAUUAGCAUGGAAUAAUGAUAUAGGAUCUCGGUCUUAUUUUGUUGGUUUCUAGGGCUGAGAUAAUGAUUAAUAGGGACAAUUGGGGGCAUUCGUACUAAUGCGUCAGAGGUGAAAUUCUUGGAUUGCAUUAUGACGAACUACUGCGAAAGCAUUUGCCAAGGAUGUUUUCA
rnacentral:rRNA from 1 species